GUGCCAGCCGCCGCGGUAAUACGUAGGUGGCAAGCGUUGUCCGGAUUUACUGGGCGUAAAGCGUGCGUAGGCGGUUACUUAAGUCAGAUGUGAAAUCCCACGGCUUAACUGGGGAGCUUCAUUGGAAACUGGGUGUCUUGAGUGCAGAAGAGGAAAGCGGAAUUCCUAGUGUAGCGGUGAAAUGCGUAGAGAUUUGGAAGAAUACCAGUGGCGAAGGCGGCUUUCUGG
rnacentral:rRNA from 1 species